UCUGAUUAGCUAGUUGGUGGGGUAAAGGCCCACCCAAGGCGACGAUCAGUAGCUGUCUGAGAGACGAUCAGCACACUGGGACUGAGACACGACCCAGACUCCUACGGGAGGCAGCAGUGGGGAAUUUUGGACAAUGGGCGAAAGCCUGAUCCAGCAAUGCCGCGUGUGUGAAGAAGGCCUUCGGGUUGUAAAGCACUUUUGUCCGGAAAGAAAUGGCUCUGGUUAAUACCUGGGGUCGAUGACGGUACCGGAAGAAUAAGGACCGGCUAACUACGUGCCAGCAGCCGCGGUAAUACGUAGGGUCCAAGCGUUAAUCGGAAUUACUGGGCGUAAAGCGUGCGCAGGCGGUUGUGCAAGACCGAUGUGAAAUCCCCGAGCUUAACUUGGGAAUUGCAUUGGUGACUGCACGGCUAGAGUGUGUCAGAGGGGGGUAGAAUUCCACGUGUAGCAGUGAAAUGCGUAGAGAUGUGGAGGAAUACCGAUGGCGAAGGCAGCCCCCUGGGAUAACACUGACGCUCAUGCACGAAAGCGUGGGGAGCAAACAGGAUUAGAUACCCUGGUAGUCCACGCCCUAAACGAUGUCAACUAGUUGUUGGGGAUUCAUUUCCUUAGUAACGUAGCUAACGCGUGAAGUUGACCGCCUGGGGAGUACGGUCGCAAGAUUAAAACUCAAAGGAAUUGACGGGGACCCGCACAAGCGGUGGAUGAUGUGGAUUAAUUCGAUGCAACGCGAAAAACCUUACCUACCCUUGACAUGCCACUAACGAAGCAGAGAUGCAUUAGGUGCUCGAAAGAGAAAGUGGACACAGGUGCUGCAUGGCUGUCGUCAGCUCGUGUCGUGAGAUGUUGGGUUAAGUCCCGCAACGAGCGCAACCCUUGUCUCUAGUUGCUACGAAAGGGCACUCUAGAGAGACUGCCGGUGACAAACCGGAGGAAGGUGGGGAUGACGUCAAGUCCUCAUGGCCCUUAUGGGUAGGGCUUCACACGUCAUACAAUGGUGCAUACAGAGGGUUGCCAAGCCGCGAGGUGGAGCUAAUCCCAGAAAAUGCAUCGUAGUCCGGAUCGUAGUCUGCAACCCGACUACGUGAAGCUGGAAUCGCUAGUAAUCGCGGAUCAGCAUGCCGCGUAGCUGA
rnacentral:rRNA from 1 species